GUAAAUGCCAUGAGAGUGAUGGCAUGGUGUCUCUGAGAAAUGAAACGAGGGACGCUGACCCUUCUCAAGACACGCCUCUCAUUAACUCCAGGCCAUAAUUGGAGUCAGAUCCCAGCAUGCCCGGGAUGAAACAGCAAAGCCCAGAGAUGUUGACACAAUGAAAGAAUUGCAGCAUACUCACUGCUUUUAUCAUCGGAAACUUGAGGAGUGUGUGGGGAAUGGAUUCUUAUGACAUCAGUCCAGGUGGACAGAGAUUAAUGUAGGUUUGGCUGAAUGUAUCAAUGUAACUGAUUUACCAGA
rnacentral:lncRNA from 1 species